CUGCCGUAAUGCGCUCAUCCCAGCUCCACAAAUCCGUCGACCUCAGUGUCGCGGCCGCUGCCGCUGCCGCUCGGAGAUUCCGCGCCGUAUUGGCGUCGUGCUCGUCGAUCCCAGCUUCCCCGGUUCAAUUCCUCCCACUCCCUCGCCGACGGUCCCGAAUCCCAGACGGCACUGGGGGGAGCUGCGCGUGGAGCGCUUCCCGAUGGACGACGGCGCGUCCAUGGGUGACUGCACCGCCCACCGCAAGUACUUGUUUUCCUCCUUCCAGCCUCACAUUCCCCCGCUCGGGAGCGCAGUAUUCCCGUGCUGAACCCGUCGUCGCCGCGCCUCACCAUCCUCGACGCCCUCUCUGCCAGGCUUCUCUUCUGCACGGUUGUAAAGGGAUUGGGCGGUGGCAUAACAGGCCACGAGAGCGAUCUCCAACUUGGUGGAUCCUCUCUUAGCUUGAAGGAACUUGCGAAGAAAUCAUGCCCAAGCAGUUUUUAAAUAGCAAGAUCACUAGCACACAUGCUGAUGUGCACCCAAUUUCACUGAUGACUGUGGGAUGCAUCUAUAUCCUAUACUCAGAAUACUCUUAAAGCGAGAAAUGCUUUUUUUCUGAAUUUUUUCUUUGUUAAAUACUUGAUGGGUAGAUGGUAUGCUUGAUUUGUUAUUCUGCACUCAUUUUUGGCAAAGUAGUAUGUAUACUAUUUUGAUUUACCAUUAUGUGAAUUAAAUUAUUAGCAUACACUAGAAGCUAAAUUUUCUUGAUUAACCAUGGUCCGGUAUUAUGCAUAAUUUUCUAAGUUGUUGCCUGCAAUGGUAUCUUAAAUCUAGCGCUAGUGGGCAUGCUCAGCUAGGUUUAGGCAAAUUAUUCUGGUUCUAUAAUUAUAAAUUUACAGAGCUGGAGUGUUUUAACAAUAAAACUUCACCUUUAAGUGGAACAGAAAAUUCAUCAAGUCUCUUUGGUAGUAUCAUGGUAAGCAUGCCUGAUAUUUGAAGUUUCCCAGUGCAGAUCCACUGAGAAUAUGCGAGGAAAUAUGCGUUGCUAAUAGGUGAGAAUAUUUUUAUGUACGGUGUUAGUGAGACUGCCAGGUGCUAGAAGAAAACGCGUAAUGCUUGAACAAUCUUUUAUUAAUUUUACAUCUUUUCUUCAUAUACGUCUCUUAGUCUCCGUGGCUCACUCAGCUGUAUUUUGUUUUGAGAAUAUUUCCACUGUAGUUUGUAAGUAUGUUAUUUCGAAAGGUCGUAAAAAUGCUACUCACAGACAUGAAGUGAAAAUGAUAUAUAUCUUGAGGAGAACCAACAAUGCUGCUAAUGUAACUUCAGUUUAGCUUGUCUUUAGAGAUGGAUAGAUGUGGAAAAAAAUGCAUGUCAGUAUAUCCUUCUACUAAUUAGUCUAUUUUUCAAUAAAAAUUUAUUAGUGAUAUGUUUUCUUCUUAAGCUCUUCACAUGGUGAAGUUAUAUGGCCCUUGCGCCUGUGGUUUGCUAGCCAGUGAUACUUAUUAUCAUGUGACGCAUUAGUUGCUCCAAACAUAAUAUAAAUGCUUCAAUAACUUAUCUCUGAAAGGAAAUCUUAUUUCUGAAGUUUCCAAUUCUGCUGGGGCUUGCAGAUUUAAAAUAUGUUUUGGCUCAUUUUCAAAACAACUUACGUUGUUGAUUGGUGUCUGAUUGUUCAGUCAUAUGGAUAAAUAGCCUCAUGCUUUCUAGAUUGUACGUAUCACUGGCAUAGCUGUAUGGUCAAGUGACCUGAAUUAUGACUCUAGAUCUGUCCAGCUAACGAUGAUAUGCAACCUACUUAACCGUAUCUAUUUUAUCCGUUGUCACAUCUUAUUUUUUUACAAGGCUCAGCGUGCUGAUUUCAUUCUUUCUCGGAGCUUGUUGGUAAUUGCUUGCAGUUCGCAUUCCUAUUGUUGAUUCAAGUUGCUGCAAACCAAGCAUCUGCACAUGUUUGUUACAGAAAUUCAAGUUCUGUCGUCAGGUUUCAGCCAUGUUGGUAAAUACUAACAGUCGGUCAUGCAUAUCAUGGUCUAUGCAGUUUUCUUAGAGUUACUACCCUGAUUUUUCGUGCAAUUUAGAUCUAUUCUUCACUUAGAAGCAUUUGCCUAAUUUGUUGAGCGUUCACUUAUAGUGACGCUCUUCGGUUGCAAGAUGAUUUGUCUUAUUUUCUUUCAUAGAUGGCAAACUAACUACUUACUAGAUUUGACUAGCUAUUUACCUUCACAUGUUAGAAACAGAACAAAAGUUUGUGUCACCUUUGUGUUGCCAAGAGCAAAUGUUUGGGUCACCAUCAUGUAAUGAAUUGUCCAUUUUUAUUUACCUUAUCAUACAAUUCAUUUGUUGCUGACACAUAUUACUGAACAAAUAAUCUUAUGUGUCCUUCUUUCUUAUGGAGCUUUCAGAUUCACCAUCCGUUUGGCAUGUUUUUUUAACAAACCUACAACCUGAAAGAUCAUGCUGGUGAUGAGCAUUCGAGUUCAAGACUGAUGAGAAGCAACCGAUCUGUGGGGCUUCACAUAUGUCAUGCUAGCCCCAACAAGAUGCAUUCGAGUUCAAGAUUGAUGAGAAGCAAUUGAUCCGAGGGGCUUCACAUAUGUCAUGCUAGCCCCAACAAGGUGCCGAUGAGGUGACCUUCAGCACCGUGUUGCCUAGUAGGAUGAAAAUGAGUCAUCAAAACCCCAGUGGAAUUAUUAUACCAA